rnacentral:rRNA from 1 species
GCCAGACUCCUACGGGAGGCAGCAGUGGGGAAUAUUGCACAAUGGGGGGAACCCUGAUGCAGCGACGCCGCGUGAGUGAAGAAGUAUUUCGGUAUGUAAAGCUCUAUCAGCAGGGAAGAAGAUGACGGUACCUGACUAAGAAGCCCCGGCUAACUACGUGCCAGCAGCCGCGGUAAUACGUAGGGGGCAAGCGUUAUCCGGAUUUACUGGGUGUAAGGGGAGCGUAGACGGCAGGGCAAGUCUGGAGUGAAAGCCCGGGGCCCAACCCCGGGACUGCUUUGGAAACUGCCAUGCUAGAGUGCUGGAGAGGUAAGCGGAAUUCCUAGUGUAGCGGUGAAAUGCGUAGAUAUUAGGAGGAACACCAGUGGCGAAGGCGGCUUACUGGACAGUAACUGACGUUGAGGCUCGAAAGCGUGGGGAGCAGACAGGAUUAGAUACCCCCGUA